rnacentral:lncRNA from 1 species
GUGUUUCGGAGUCAUGUGUCCAGACAGAGAGUGACCAAUACACAAAUGUAUGAAUGUGCAAAUGCAGGCUACGAGAGGAACGGGGGAGUGGCGCACUAGAUGUAGCGAGAAUUUGUUUUGACUGUGCGUGUCAUUGUAACUGAAUGAGUGGCUUAUUCGGCCCGUGUAUGUUUCAAAACUUUGAUUUCCCAUUCGUCUAUCUAUCCUGAAUAAAAGCACCGCAUUACAAACCAAUAAACCGAACAAAAAUAUUUUUUAACAAAACACACAGACUUGAAUUUAAAGCUGUUUUUUCGUUUAGAGAAAAACGGAAAACAAAAAACCUCUGCUUUUAAUUUUUAAUCGAAGCUCAACCGUGGACGGGUCGCGGGGCAGCAGUCUUAGCAGAGAGAUCCAGACUGCCUCUGGAAUGAAACACGAGAUUGAAUGAUAUGUGAUGUGUUUCGUACUCAGAUGACUUGAAUCUGAGUUCGACCAAGCUUUUGUUUGUCUCAUAUUUGCUCACAGUCGCAAAGGCAAACUUCUCAUCCCUCCCCUCCCCCGUAGAGGCGCAUAGACAUGCUAAUGUGUUGCUACUACUCGAUCAGCAGGUGAGAAAUACUUCAGCUCCGGGACAGACUGGGCAGCAUCAGGUGGCAUGAUCAGCUGCAGGUCUAAGACUCAUUAAUGCAGCAAGUAGUUUGUUCUACAUACGUUUACUCUGCAAAAAUAAACGUAUGUAUUUAUCGUAUUAUCAAAUGAAUGCGCCUGUCAGCGGGGAAGACAUCAACUCUAUUCAGUCGCUCUUCAGUGGCUGCUGCCGUCUCGUCCCCAGUUCACACACCUUAACACUAGGACUACUGGGUUUUCUAAAUAUACCAGUUCCUACUACAAGGUGUGUGAACUGGGGAGGAGACGGCAGCAGCGACUGAAGAGCGACUGAAUAGAGUUGAUGUCUUCCCCGCUGACAGGCGCAUUCAUUUGAUAAUGCACGACCUUGGCUGACAGUUCAGUUGAAAACCACACUGAAUCUUUACAAACCGUCCCUGAAUAACAUCUAUGAACUGCAGUUUCUUCCUUGAUUAUCCAUGAUUAUUAUGAAAGAAGCGCAAAUCUUCGC